GAUGAACGCUGGCGGCGUGCCUAAUACAUGCAAGUCGAGCGAACAGACGAGGAGCUUGCUCCUCUGACGUUAGCGGCGGACGGGUGAGUAACACGUGGAUAACCUACCUAUAAGACUGGGAUAACUUCGGGAAACCGGAGCUAAUACCGGAUAAUAUAUUGAACCGCAUGGUUCAAUAGUGAAAGACGGUUUUGCUGUCACUUAUAGAUGGAUCCGCGCCGCAUUAGCUAGUUGGUAAGGUAACGGCUUACCAAGGCAACGAUGCGUAGCCGACCUGAGAGGGUGAUCGGCCACACUGGAACUGGGCCACGGUCCAGACUCCUACGGGAGGCAGCAGUAGGGAAUCUUCCGCAAUGGGCGAAAGCUUGACGGAGCAACGCCGCGUGAGUGAUGAAGGUCUUCGGAUCGUAAAACUCUGUUAUUAGGGAAGAACAAAUGUGUAAGUAACUAUGCACGUCUUGACGGUACCUAAUCAGAAAGCCACGGCUAACUACGUG
rnacentral:rRNA from 1 species